AGGGCAAAACAUUAAAGAGAUUAUUCCCCCAGAAGCUCAUGUGCGUUAAAAGAAAAUAAAAUCCUUGGCUCCUUUCCGGGUGAUGCUCCAGGGAGCAAGAGGAUGAGGUCACUUUACUGUAUGCGGAGUAUGAUUUAACAGACUGAAAACAACCCUUAUUGGGACAGAGGAUGUGGAACCAGACACAAGAUAAAGACGCUGCCAGCAAGAACAGAAAGCUAGGGGAGAGGGGAGGGCUGAGGAUCCCUGACUCCACUUUCAAUACCUCUUCAGGCAUUAGAUGCCAGUGAUGUCAGCUAAAGGAUAUUUUCUGCUUGCUGAUUUGCUGUUAGACCCAGAUACCUACCAUGCUUUGUCUCAACAAGAAGGAUGUGAGCCUCCCUCCAAGCUCCUUUCCAGUCUUCCUUCCAGUCUUCUCCUUUCACAUUCCUUCAUGGAUGAUCACUCAACCCUGUCCCCAUGACUAAUUUUUCCUCAUACAGAAAAUAAACUAACAUGAUGCAUCUACCAUGA